AGUGAACGCUGGCGGUAGGCUUAACACAUGCAAGUCGAACGGCAGCACAGUAAGAGCUUGCUCUUACGGGUGGCGAGUGGCGGACGGGUGAGGAAUACAUCGGAAUCUACUUUUUCGUGGGGGAUAACGUAGGGAAACUUACGCUAAUACCGCAUACGACCUACGGGUGAAAGCAGGGGAUCUUCGGACCUUGCGCGAUUGAAUGAGCCGAUGUCGGAUUAGCUAGUUGGCGGGGUAAAGGCCCACCAAGGCGACGAUCCGUAGCUGGUCUGAGAGGAUGCUCAGCCACACUGGAACUGAGACACGGUCCAGAAUCCUAGGGGAGGCAGCAGUGGGGAAUAUUGGACAAUGGGCGCAAGCCUGAUCCAGGCAUACCGCGUGGGUGAAGAAGGCCUUCGGGUUGUAAAGCCCUUUUGUUGGGAAAGAAAAGCAGCAGGUUAAUACCCCGCUGUUCUGACGGUACCCAAAGAAUAAGCACCGGCUAACUUCGUG
rnacentral:rRNA from 1 species